UACGAAGGGGGCUAGCGUUGCUCGGAAUCACUGGGCGUAAAGCGCACGUAGGCGGACUCUUAAGUCGGUGGUGAAAUCCUGGAGCUCAACUCCAGAACUGCCUCCGAUACUGGGAGUCUUGAGUCUGGGAGAGGUGAGUGGAACUGCGAGUGUAGAGGUGAAAUUCGUAGAUAUUCGCAAGAACACCAGUGGCGAAGGCGGCUCACUGGCCCGGUACUGACGCUGAGGUGCGAAAGCGUGGGGAGCAAACAGG
rnacentral:rRNA from 1 species